GGGGUGCAGCAGGCGCGAAAACUUUACAAUGCGGGAAACCGUGAUAAGGGGACACCGAGUGCCAGCAUCAUAUGCUGGCUGUCCAGGUGUGUAAAAUACACCUGUUAGCAAGGGCCGGGCAAGACCGGUGCCAGCCGCCGCGGUAACACCGGCGGCCCGAGUGGUGAUCGUGAUUAUUGGGUCUAAAGGGUCCGUAGCCGGUUUGGUCAGUCCUCCGGGAAAUCUGACGGCUCAACCGUUAGGCUUUCGGGGGAUACUGCCAGGCUUGGAACCGGGAGAGGUAAGAGGUACUACAGGGGUAGGAGUGAAAUCUUGUAAUCCCUGUGAGACCACCUGUGGCGAAGGCGUCUUACCAGAACGGGUUCGACGGUGAGGGACGAAAGCUGGGGGCACGAACCGGAUUAGAUACCCGGGUAGUCCAGCCGUAAACGAUGCUCGCUAGGUGUCAGGCAUGGCGCGACCGUGUCUGGUGCCGCAGGGAAGCCGUGAAGCGAGCCACCUGGGAAGUACGGCCGCAAGGCUGAAACUUAAAGGAAUUGG
rnacentral:rRNA from 1 species